rnacentral:rRNA from 1 species
UACAGAGGUCCCAAGCGUUGUUCGGAUUCACUGGGCGUAAAGGGUGCGUAGGCGGUCGGGUAAGUCUGACGUGAAAUCUUCAAGCUUAACUUGGAAACUGCGUCGGAUACUAUUCGGCUAGAGGAAUGGAGGGGAGACUGGAAUACUUGGUGUAGCAGUGAAAUGCGUAGAUAUCAAGUGGAACACCAGUGGCGAAGGCGAGUCCCUGGACAACUUCUGACACUGAGGCACGAAAGCUAGGGGAGCAAACAGG